rnacentral:rRNA from 1 species
GAUGAACGCUAGCUACAGGCUUAACACAUGCAAGUCGAGGGGAAACGACAUCGAAAGCUUGCUUUUGAUGGGCGUCGACCGGCGCACGGGUGAGUAACGCGUAUCCAACCUGCCCAUCACUUGGGGAUAACCUUGCGAAAGUAAGACUAAUACCCAAUGAUAUCUCUAGAAGACAUCUGAAAGAGAUUAAAGAUUUAUCGGUGAUGGAUGGGGAUGCGUCUGAUUAGCUUGUUGGCGGGGUAACGGCCCACCAAGGCAACGAUCAGUAGGGGUUCUGAGAGGAAGGUCCCCCACAUGGGAACUGAGACACGGUCCAAACUCCUACGGGAGGCAGCAGUGAGGAAUAUUGGUCAAUGGGCGAGAGCCGGAACCAGCCAAGUAGCGUGCAGGAAGACGGCCCUAUGGGUGGUAAACUGCUUUUAUAAGGGAAUAAAGUGAGAGUCGUGACUCUUUUUGUAUGUACCUUAUGAAUAAGGACCGGCUAAUUCCGUG